rnacentral:sRNA from 1 species
CGAGGCCUGGGCGGCCUGAGGAGCGCGGACCCCGGCGCUCGGCUCCCGGCGCCAUGUGAGGGGGCUCGGGGGCCGCGGGGGGCCGGGCGCUCCCCGCCGGAGAUGAGGAAACUGAGGCUCAGAGAGGUCACAUGGCUUGCUCGAGGCCCCCCAGCCAGUGUGAACCCACGUCCCUGCCCCCAGGGCCACCUGCAGGACGCGGACACCUACCCCUCAGCAGACGCCGGAGAGAAAUGAGUAGCAACAAACUCCAACAGUGCCAGUGAGGUCUUCCAUUACGGCUCCCUGCGGGGCCGUAGCCGCCGACCUGUCAACCUCAAGAAGUGGAGCAUCACUGACGGCUAUGUCCCCAUUCUCGGCAACAAGACGCUGCCUUCUCGGUGCCACCAGUGUGUGAUUGUCAGCAGCUCCAGCCACCUGCUGGGCACCAAGCUGGGCCCUGAGAUCGAGCGGGCUGAGUGUACAAUCCGCAUGAAUGAUGCACCUACCACUGGCUACUCAGCUGAUGUGGGCAACAAGACCACCUACCGCGUCGUGGCCCAUUCCAGUGUGUUCCGAGUGCUGAGGAGGCCCCAGGAGUUUGUCAACCGGACCCCUGAAACCGUGUUCAUCUUCUGGGGGCCCCCAAGCAAGAUGCAGAAGCCCCAGGGCAGCCUCGUGCGUGUGAUCCAGCGGGCGGGCCUGGUGUUCCCCAACAUGGAAGCAUAUGCCG